CCUACGGGAGGCAGCAGUAGGGAAUAUUGGGCAAUGGAGGCAACUCUGACCCAGCCAUGCCGCGUGCAGGAUGAAGGCGUUAUGCGUUGUAAACUGCUUUUAUAUAGGAAGAAAGAGUUCUUGCGAGAACAGUUGACGGUACUAUAUGAAUAAGCACCGGCUAACUCCGUGCCAGCAGCCGCGGUAAUACGGAGGGUGCAAGCGUUGUCCGGAUUUAUUGGGUUUAAAGGGUGCGUAGGCGGUUUAUUAAGUCAGUGGUGAAAGACGGUCGCUCAACGAUUGCAGUACCAUUGAUACUGGUAGACUUGAGUGAGAUUGAGGUAGCUGGAAUGGAUAGUGUAGCGGUGAAAUGCAUAGAUAUUAUCCAGAACACCAAUUGCGUAGGCAAGUUACUAAGUCUCAACUGACGCUGAGGCACGAAAGUGUGGGUAUCAAACAGGAUUAGAUACCCUGGUAGUCCACACUGUAAACGAUGAUAACUAACUGUUGGUUUUCGAAUCAGUGGUACAGAGAAAUCGUUAAGUUAUCCACCUGGGGAGUACGCCGGCAACGGUGAAACUCAAAUGAAUUGACCGGNUGAGACGNGCGAGACGACGACGAGGGAGAGG
rnacentral:rRNA from 1 species